CACGCACCCCCAGGAAGGUGUCACUCGGAGCCUCAGCUCACCUUGCGUGCCGCCCUUGUGUCUUUCAGCGGCACGGGACCCGGUCGGGGCCAGGCUGUCUCCGAUCGCCGACCGUGUGAGAGCCGGCGUGUUGUUGAGCCAACUCCCGCCCCCUCGGCACCUAGAAGCAACUCAGCGCUCUGGCGCAGCCCCGAGGUUCACCCGCCAUGCCACCGGAC